AUGAUGAGCACUAACCACGCUGCGCCUUGGUCUACUCUUUCAGACAGCCGUUACAGAACCACCCACCAUAAGAAGACCAAGCAGCGUGGAUUGGAGCAUCGGGUUGACAGAUGGACUUGGCAGAAGGAGCGGAGAUUCUGGGAGGACAAGUUACGGGAGCCCGAGAGGCAGCCCCCAAAGAUAUUUGGGGGGGGGGGGCACACGAGAAGUUGGCCUGAGUCAGGAUGGAAUACUGAGCCAACUUCCCGUACUUACAGGAGGCAACGUAGUACUGGUCAGGCACCGUGUUAUGCGGUAGAGAGCACGGUGUCCCCAGUACGCGUUGAGAGCCCGGUGCGCUACAUCCCAGCUCCUAACAUCUGCUGGGCUAGAGUGGGCAUUGAGCCAGGGCGGAGUGUUCCAGCUCAGCGCAUCUGGUCUCCGGUGCGCUGUCUCGGUCCAGGUUAUCCUGCGCCGGCGCUGCGUACUGUGUCUCCGGAGCGCUGGGAUGAAUCAGUCCGUCCUGUGCCUGCGCUCCGCCCGCGCCGGGCUAGGUUGGGUAUUCAGCCUGGAAGAUGGGUAACAAGCCUACGCAGCAGAUCUCCAGUGCAACCCCACAGUCCAGUACGCCCUGUUCCUGCUUCUCGCACUAGCCUUGAGGUGCGGGUCUCCAGUCUGGUACCUCCAGUGCCAUCACCACGCACCAGGCCUCCAGUGCGUCAGCCCAGUCCAGUACGUCCUGCUCCUGCUCCUCGGGCUAGCCCUGUGGUGCGUGUAAAUAGUCUGGCGCCUCCAAAGCCAGCCCCACGCAUCAGGCCUUCAGUGUGCAGUCCCCGUCCAGAGCUUCCGACGACAGUUCCCCGUCUAGAGCUUCCGACGACAGUUCCCCGUCUAGAGCUUCCGGCGACAGUUCUCCGUCCAGAGCUUCCGGCGACAGUUCCCCGUCUAGAGCUUCCGGCGACAGUUCCCCGUCUAGAGCUUCCGGCGACAGUUCCCCGUCCAGAGCUUCCGGCGACAGUUCCCCGUCCAGAGCUUCCGGCAACAGUUCUCCGUCCAGAGCUUCCGGCGACAGUUCUCCGUCCAGAGCUUCCGGCGACAGUUCUCCGUCCAGAGCUUCCGGCGACAGUUCCCCGUCCAGAGCUUCCGGCGACAGUUCCCCGUCCAGAGCUUCCGGCGACAGUUCCCCGUCCAGAGCUUCCGGCGACAGUGCCCCGCCCAGAGCUUCCGGCGACAGUGCCCCGUCUAGAGAUGGCCCACAGUCCGGAGCCCGCCGAGACGGCCCACAGACCGGAGCCCGCCGAGACGGCCCACAGACCGGAGCCCGCCGAGACGGCCCACAGACCGGAGCCCGCCGAGACGGCCCACNNNNNNNNNNNNNNNNNNNNCAGCCGGGCGCAGCCAGAGUCGCCCGCCAGCCGGGCGCAGCCAGAGUCGCCCGCCAGCCGGGCGCAGCCAGAGUCGCCGGGCGCAGCCAGAGUUGCCCGCCAGCCGGGCGCAACCAGAGUCGCCCUCCAGUCCGGGGCCCGCUGCGAGGGUCCCCAGUCCGUGGUCGGUGGCAAGAGACCACGCUCUAGGGGAGCCAUUAAAGUGGGGUGA
rnacentral:lncRNA from 8 species